AACGAACGCUGGCCGCAUGCCUAACACAUGCAAGUCGAACGAGAUCUUCGGGUCUAGUGGCGCACGGGUGCGUAACGCGUGGGAAUCUGCCCUUUGGUUCGGAAUAACAGUUGGAAACGACUGCUAAUACCGGAUGAUGCCGAAAGUCCAAAGAUUAUCGCCAGAGGAUGAGCCCGCGUAGGAUUAGCUAGUUGGUGUGGUAAGGGCGAACCAAGGCGACGAUCCUUUGCUGGUCUGAGAGGAUGAUCAGCCACAGUGGGACUGGGACACGGCCCAGGCUCCUACGGGAGGCAGCAGUGGGUAAUAUUGGACAAUGGGCGAAAGCCUGAUCCAGCAUUGCCGCGUGAGUGAUGAAGGCCUUAGGGUUGUAAAGCUCUUUUACCCGGGAUGAUAAUGACAGUACCGGGAGAAUAAGCCCCGGCUAACUCCGUGCCAGCAGCCGCCGUAA
rnacentral:rRNA from 1 species